GAUGAACUCUGGCGGCGUGCCUAAUACAUGCAAGUCGAGCGAACAGACAAGGAGCUUGCUCCUUUGACGUUAGCGGCAGACGGGUGAGUAACACGUGGGUAACCUACCUAUAAGACUGGGAUAACUUCGGGAAACCGGAGCUAAUACCGGAUAAUAUUUCGAACCGCAUGGUUCGAUAGUGAAAGAUGGUUUUGCUAUCACUUAUAGAUGGACCCGCGCCGUAUUAGCUAGUUGGUAGGGUAACGGCUUACCAAGGCGACGAUACGUAGCCGACCUGAGAGGGUGAUCGGCCACACUGGAACUGAGACACGGUCCAGACUCCUACGGGAGGCAGCAGUAGGGAAUCUUCCGCAAUGGGCGAAAGCCUGACGGAGCAACGCCGCGUGAGUGAUGAAGGUCUUCGGAUCGUAAAACUCUGUUAUUAGGGAAGAACAUACGUGUAAGUAACUAUGCACGUCUUGACGGUACCUAAUCAGAAAGCCACGGCUAACUACGUGCCAGCAGCCGCGGUAAUACGUAGGUGGCAAGCGUUAUCCGGAAUUAUUGGGCGUAAAGCGCGCGUAGGCGGUUUUUUAAGUCUGAUGUGAAAGCCCACGGCUCAACCGUGGAGGGUCAUUGGAAACUGUAAAACUUGAGUGCAGAAGAGGAAAGUGGAAUUCCAUGUGUAGCGGUGAAAUGCGCAGAGAUAUGGAGGAACACCAGUGGCGAAGGCGACUUUCUGGUCUGUAACUGACGCUGAUGUGCGAAAGCGUGGGGAUCAAACAGGAUUAGAUACCCUGGUAGUCCACGCCGUAAACGAUGAGUGCUAAGUGUUAGGGGGUUUCCGCCCCUUAGUGCUGCAGCUAACGCAUUAAGCACUCCGCCUGGGGAGUACGACCGCAAGGUUGAAACUCAAAGGAAUUGACGGGGACCCGCACAAGCGGUGGAGCAUGUGGUUUAAUUCGAAGCAACGCGAAGAACCUUACCAAAUCUUGACAUCCUUUGACAACUCUAGAGAUAGAGCCUUCCCCUUCGGGGGACAAAGUGACAGGUGGUGCAUGGUUGACGUCAGCUCGUGUCGUGAGAUGUUGGGUUAAGUCCCGCAACGAGCGCAACCCUUAAGCUUAGUUGCCAUCAUUAAGUUGGGCACUCUAAGUUGACUGCCGGUGACAAACCGGAGGAAGGUGGGGAUGACGUCAAAUCAUCAUGCCCCUUAUGAUUUGGGCUACACACGUGCUACAAUGGACAAUACAAAGGGCAGCGAAACCGCGAGGUCAAGCAAAUCCCAUAAAGUUGUUCUCAGUUCGGAUUGUAGUCUGCAACUCGACUACAUGAAGCUGGAAUCGCUAGUAAUCGUAGAUCAGCAUGCUACGGUGAAUACGUUCCCGGGUCU
rnacentral:rRNA from 1 species